rnacentral:rRNA from 1 species
UACGGGGGGGAGCAAGCGUUGUUCGGAUUUACUGGGCGUAAAGGGCGCGUAGGCGGUCAGCACAAGUCAGUUGUGAAAUCUCCGAGCUUAACUCGGAAAGGUCAACUGAUACUGUGCGACUAGAGUGCGGAAGGGGCAACUGGAAUUCUUGGUGUAGCGGUGAAAUGCGUAGAUAUCAAGAGGAACACCUGCGGCGAAGGCGGGUUGCUGGGCCGACACUGACUGAGGCGCGAAAGCUAGGGGGAGCGAACGGGAUUAGAAAACCCUA